GCCCCUGUCCCUCCUCUGGGCUGGAGGGUGGAUAAGAGACACCUGCAGCGUGGCAGCCUCGGCAGAGCUCUGGGUGUCUGCACCAUGGCCUGCGCCCCACUCCUCCUCCUCACCCUCCUCCUUCACUGCACAGGGUCCCUUUCCCAGCCUGUGCUGACCCAGCCGCCCUCUGCAUCUGCCUCCCCGGGAGCCUCGGCCAAGCUCACCUGCACCCUGAGCAGUGCGCACAGUGGCUACACCAUUGCGUGGCAUCAGCAGCAGCCAGGGAAGGCCCCUCGGUACUUGAUGCGGCUUAACAGUGAUGGAAGCCACAGCAAGGGGGACGGGAUCCCCGAUCGCUUCUCGGGCUCCAGCUCCGGGGCUGACCGCUACUUAACCAUCUCCAACGUCCAGCCUGAGGACGAGGCUGACUAUUACUGUCAGACCGGGGACAGCAGUGGUGUUAAUCACAGUGACACAGGGAGAUGGGGAAGUGGGACCAAAACCUCAGCCUGCUCACUUUCUUACCAGUGACAAUAAUGAAACUUAUAGAGGGUUUCCAUGU